rfam:Echinostoma caproni strain Egypt genome assembly, scaffold: ECPE_scaffold0000368
ACCAGUUAUGGUGACAUGGUUCCGGAGACAAUUGUGGGGAAAAUUGUGGGCGGAAUGUGCUCCCUGUCCGGGGUUCUUGUCAUUGCUCUGCCCGUGCCUGUCAUUGUAUCGAAU